GGCUGAGUUGCAGGGUCCGGGAGGUGGGGGCGCUGUGGCUUCCGGCCGUCAAGGGCGAGGCCCGAGUCUCUGGCCCGGGCGGCCGCAGUCUGCGGGUUAUUGUGGGGGCUUGGUGUCUGCACUAUGAAUCUACUGCUCCUGGAGGCCAUAGGGCGGAGAGAAGCAAAUGGAAAAAUUUCCUUGUUUAAAAUGUUGAAUAGUGGCGCUGGACCUUGGAACACCAAGUGGAGCAUCCAUUAACCAUGUGCAAGGACUCAGUUCAAGUCCCUAGUCCCCUCCUGCAGGAGGAAUCCUCAUGAGUGGUAAAGCAGUGCUGCAGGUGUCUCUCUUCUUCUCUCCCUUAGGAUCUCUCCCUGACCUCUUAUCUCUGUCCUAUUAAAAGGAGAAGAAUAAGAGGGCCUGGGUGGUGGUGCAAUGGGUUAAGUGCACAUUUUAUGUAGGUUGAGUGCACAUUAUACAUAAUGCAAAGACCCAUGCAAGGAUCCCGGUUUGAGCCCCUAGCUCCCCACUUGCAGGAGGGUGGCUUCACAAGUGUUGGAGCAGGUCUGCUGGUGUCUAUCUUUAUCUUCCCUUCUCAAUCUUUCCUUCCCCUCUCAGUUUCUCUCUGUCCUAUCCAACAACAGCAACAAGAAUAAAUGGGGAAAAAAAUGGCCGCAGUGGAUUUGUAGUGCAGGCACAAAACCCCCAGUGAUAACACUGGGGGUGAAGAAGCAGGAGGAGGAGGAAGAAGAAGAAGAAAUGAAGAAAAGAAUGCUGAAUAAUAUUCCAUUGUGUAUCUGGUAUCACUUAUUUAAAGCUAGUUAUUUUUAUGCCUCAUUGUUAUGUAGUACAGAGUAGUAAAGGCAUCACUUAAAA